AAGUCGUAACAAGGUUUCCGUAGGUGAACCUGCGGAAGGAUCAUUCGUGUAAUUUUAAAAAUAAUAUUAUAUGUUGUGUGUUUUAUACGCAUAUAUAUUAUUAUAAAAAAACCUUUGUGAACCGUAAUGACCUAGUAGAAAAAGCAGGCAUUACAAACAGUCUGACUGGGUGUGUUUUAUAUAUUCAUUUAUAUAUAUAUAUACUUUAAAUUAUUUUUACAUAAUGUUUUAAACAAUAUAAUACAUAAAAAAUGUACAACCUUUAACAAUGGAUCUCUUGGCUCCU
rnacentral:misc_RNA from 1 species